rnacentral:rRNA from 1 species
UACGGGGGGAGCAAGCGUUGUUCGGAUUUACUGGGCGUAAAGGGCGCGUAGGCGGUCCGCACAAGUCAGUUGUGAAAUCUCCGGGCUUAACUCGGAAAGGUCAACUGAUACUGUGCGACUAGAGUGCAGAAGGGGCAACUGGAAUUCUCGGUGUAGCGGUGAAAUGCGUAGAUAUCGAGAGGAACACCUGCGGCGAAGGCGGGUUGCUGGGCUGACACUGACGCUGAGGAGCGAAAGCGUGGGGAGCAAACAGG